rnacentral:rRNA from 1 species
UACGUAGGGGGCAAGCGUUGUCCGGAAUCAUUGGGCGUAAAGAGCGUGUAGGCGGCCCGGUAAGUCCGCUGUGAAAGUCGGGGGCUCAACCCUCGAAUGCCGGUGGAUACUGUCGGGCUAGAGUGCGGAAGAGGCAAGUGGAAUUCCCGGUGUAGCGGUGAAAUGCGCAGAUAUCGGGAGGAACACCUAUGGCGAAGGCAGCUUGCUGGGACGGUACUGACGCUGAGACGCGAAAGCGUGGGGAGCAAACAGG